AAGUCGUAACAAGGUCUCCGUAGGUGAACCUGCGGAAGGAUCAUUACAGAGGUUUAUCCUUUUCUGUAAUUUAUAUCUGGCAUCGAAGUUUAGCAUGAGCUGAUCUGAUUUCAACCUUAUGUGGUCAAUCAGCAACGACGGGCGACCACUUCGACGCCAAAACUUUACACAACAUAACGUCUGAAGAAAAGAAUGAAAAAA
rnacentral:misc_RNA from 1 species